rnacentral:rRNA from 1 species
AAAUUGAAGAGUUUGAUCAUGGCUCAGAUUGAACGCUGGCGGCAGGCCUAACACAUGCAAGUCGAACGGUAACAGGAAACAGCUUGCUGUUUCGCUGACGAGUGGCGGACGGGUGAGUAAUGUCUGGGAAACUGCCUGAUGGAGGGGGAUAACUACUGGAAACGGUAGCUAAUACCGCAUAACGUCGCAAGACCAAAGAGGGGGACCCUCGGGCCUCUUGCCAUCGGAUGUGCCCAGAUGGGAUUAGCUUGUUGGUGGGGUAACGGCUCACCAAGGCGACGAUCCCUAGCUGGUCUGAGAGGAUGACCAGCCACACUGGAACUGAGACACGGUCCAGACUCCUACGGGAGGCAGCAGUGGGGAAUAUUGCACAAUGGGCGCAAGCCUGAUGCAGCCAUGCCGCGUGUAUGAAGAAGGCCUUCGGGUUGUAAAGUACUUUCAGCGGGGAGGAAGGGAGUAAAGUUAAUACCUUUGCUCAUUGACGUUACCCGCAGAAGAAGCACCGGCUAACUCCGUGCCAGCAGCCGCGGUAAUACGG